GACGAACGCUGGCGGCGUGGAUUAGGCAUGCAAGUCGAACGGUAUGGACCUUUCGGGGUUCAGAGAGCGGCGAACGGGUGAGUAACACGUAGGUAAUCUACCCUCAAGACGGGGACAACCCAGGGAAACUUGGGCUAAUACCGGAUGUGUGUAGUGGCUAUUUUUCUGAUUAUCAUUAUUUACGUAAGUGAGUAAUAAUAAGAAGGGAAAGUGGUUAUUACAUAAAAGGUGGCGUAAGCUGCCGCUUGGGGAUGAGCCUGCGUCCUAUUAGUUAGUUGGUGAGGUAACGGCUUACCAAGGCGAUGAUAGGUAGGCGGCCUUAACGGGUGGUCGCCCACACUGGGAUUGAGAUACGGCCCAGACUCCUACGGGAGGCAGCAGUCGAGAAUAGUCUACAAUGGACGGAAGUCUGAUAGUGCGACGCCGCGUGAACGAUGAAUCCCUUCGGGGUGUAAAGUUCUUUUAUAUGUGAGCAGUGCUUCUUAUAUUAACAGUAUGGGGAGAGAGAUAUUAGCAUA
rnacentral:rRNA from 1 species